rnacentral:SRP_RNA from 1 species
GCCGGGCGCGGUGGCUCAAGCCUGUAAUCCCAGCUACUUGGGAGGCUGAAGCUGGAAAAUCGCUUGAACCCGGGAGGUGGAGGUUGCAGUGAGCCGAGAUCGCACCACUGCAUUCCAGCCNNNNNNNNNNGAUCUGCCCGUCUCGGCCUCCAAAGUGCUGGGAUUACAGGCUUGAGCCACCGCGCCCGGCCUUUUUUUUUUUGAGACAGUCUUUCUCUAUUGCGCAGGCUGGAGUGCAGUGGUGCGAUCUCGGCUCACUGCAACCUCCACCUCCCGGGUUCAAGCGAUUUUCCAGCUUCA